rnacentral:lncRNA from 1 species
GGGCACCUUCCUGACCCACACGCUCACUGGGGCUCCAGACCCAGGCUCCCUAAAACAUGGGCCGAGACUCAUUGCAGGACCUCGGGUGCUUGGUAUCCGUGUCAUGUCUUCUCCUGCCGUCUACACCUGACUGUUCCUGAGUCUCGUUCACUGAGCGCCUGCCACGUGCCAGGCCCAGGGCUGGGUGUUGGGGGACGAGUACGUGGGGAGCGAACACGCGCAGAAAAUUACCCGGCAUUGAGCGUGUUAGUGCUUCUUGGGCUGAGUCCAUUAACUGAUGAGCAGAGGAAACGGGUAUGCAGGAGAUUAGAAGCCAGUGGGCAUGAGCGUGGCUGCCACCAGGUGAAUGCCUGUGCCCUGGCGUCCUGGGGCCCAGAGGACCGGGAGCUUCCAUCAAGAGGCUGCCUCCCAGCACCAAGGCCAGAGAGUGGCCAGGGGAGGCUAAGUACAGGGAUUUCUCAGAAUGGUGGAAGGAGCUCAGCCCAGCCUUGCCCAAGAUGUAUUGCAGGGGAAUCUAUGGAGUUUUGCUCUCGUUGCCCACGCUGGAGUGCAAUGGCAUGAUCUCAGCUCACUGCAACCUCCGCUUCCCAGGUUCAAGCGAUUCUCCUGCCUCAGCCACCCAAGUAGUUGGGAUUACAGGUGUGUGCCACCAUGCCUGGCGACUUUUGUAUUUUCAGUAGAGAUGGGGUUUCACCUUGUUGAUCAGGCUGGUCUCAAACUCCUGACCUCAAGUGAUCCACCCACCUCGGCCUCCCAAAGUGCUGGGAUUACAGGCGAGAGCCACCGUGCCCGGCCAUGACCUUCUUUAGUUCUUUGACCAUAUUUAAAAUGGCUGAGGUGAAGUCUCUGGGACAUUUUAGCCAUACCAAGAAUCAUUAGAAGAUGCAAGCUGGAAAAAAGAAGGUCCCAGUUUUGGUUUUGAACCCUUCAUGUUGCAGCAAAUGUGAAUCUCCUACAGAUGGGUUUGGGGACUUACCUGUUCAAAUAGCAGCCCGGUGUCCUCUGUGGGUGGGGGGAGGUUUGUCUGUCCUUUCAUUCUAGUAAAUCCACCAUCCUCUGCACGAGAGCCAGGAGAAUCCACAUCACUUCAAAAGAGCCCCCAAAUCCUUACUACGUACUACAGCCUCCUUUCGAAUGUUCCUGGUUGAGAGGGAGAUCAAUUGCAUUAUUUACAAGUCAAAAAAUUUUGUAUCAAACUUCCUAUGAGCUUGGGCACUCAUGGCCUAUGGAGGCCCACCCAGACGCAGCCCCGCCAUCAUGCUUUUUCGUUGUUUUGUGGAUGUACCCAGGGCUAUUUACACACUCUUUCAUUAAAAGGCUUAUUUUUAUAUUUAAAAUGUUCUAAUCUUGGAGUGAAUUUUACUAAAUGCUAGUGUCCAAUCUGUUCCCCAACUGAAGUUAUCAGAGACAGAAUCCCUUUUAUAUUCAAGUGGAAAUUACUCAUUUUCUCUUGGGUUUUCAAUGUAUCGUCUGACUGUGAGGCUGGCAUUAUUUUCUCUGGGUUUGAAAGCUUCCUGAGAUGUCCUGUUUGUAAGCUCCUGUCCGCAUCACGUUAUCUGCAGGGAAUGUGCUCCCUCCAGGGAGUGUCCUCGGCACUGAUGUGGGAAGAGCCCCCUCUAUAAGUCAUCAUGGCAUUCGGUCAUGGGAGAGUUCCAUACGGGAAAGAUGGAGCAGAGGAAGACAAGGUGUUGAAACCAGUACAGCACCACCUGGGAUAUGGAUGAUCCAGAAUUACAGGACACGUCUUCAUUAAGCCUGGGUAAGAUCCCAGAGCUAUGACUCGAUCAAAAAAUGCCAGUUCGUGCCAAACAACCAAAGCCGGGAAAGAGGGAGAAGGUAUUGGCGUUUGUAGCCUUACGAAAGAUCUUUAUGAAGAGCUUUAGUUUGUUCUUCUCUUUUCCAAAAUGAGAUACACGUCUAAUUUUUACGGGAAAAAAAGAAAACUCUUAGAUGGACAGCAUGUUCUUUUUUGUGUGUAAACUCUUCCUUCUCACCCUCGUUCAUGGAGAGAGCAGGUGUCCACCCGGUGUCAGGUGGGUGUUUUGUAGCUGACGUGGCACGCGUCCCUCCAGCUGUUCAUACGAAGCUGGCUUUUGUAGAGAACAGUCCCCGGGCAUCCUCCUGCCCCAAGGAAAAUGCCCCCGCUUCAGAGUCAGACAGACGUGAGUUCCCAUCUCAUCUCCACCGACCAUCUCCACCUGACCUUGAUGAGUCCUUAGACUUCUUGGAGCCUCUGGUUCCCAUCUGUGUGGUGGGGAGGUUGCCCUUGGGGUUUGCCCUUAGCCCACAGUGUGACUCCUCAGUGUCAGUGCCCUCCCUCCUGGUACACAGCCCCUCCACCCCAAAGCAGGCCUUCGGUUCUGGAAAAGCAAAGCUCACAAAACCUGAUGACCCAGGUGACAAGGACGAAAGGGAUGAGGUGUAACUGGCCAGAAUGUGGGUGUAUUAGGGUUCUCUAGAGGGACAGAAUAGGAUAAGUGUAUAUGUGAAGGGGAGUUUAUUAAGGAGUAUUGACUUGCAUGAUCACAAGGUGAGGUCCCACAAUAGGCCGUCUGCAAGCUGAGGAGCAAGGAAGGCAGCCUGAGUCCCAAAACCUCAAAAGUAGAGAAGUCGAUAGUGCAUCCUUCAGUCUGUGGCUGAAGGCCCAACAGCCCUUGCAAACCACUGGUGUAAGUCCAAGAGUCCAAAAGCUGAAGAACUUGGAGUUCGAUGUUCAAGGGCAGGAAGCAUCCAGCACGGGAGAAAGAGGAAGCCUGGAAGACUCAGCCAGUCUAGUCUUUCCACAUUCUCCUGCUUGCAUUAUUCUGGCCAAGCUGGCAGCUGAUUAGAUGGUACCCACCCAGAUUGAGGGUGAGUCCGCCUCUCCCAGUCCACUGACUCAACUGUGAAUCUCCUUUGGCAACACCCUCACAGACACACCCAGGAUCAAUACUUGGCAUCCUUCAAUCAAGUUGACACUUGAUAUUAACCACCACAGUGGAGAACCAGCAGCUUUAUCCAGGUGCUGGAUUUUCCAGACUGUGAAGGGAAUGGAGGAGCUUGUGACUGGGUACCUAAAAAGGGGGAUGGCAACAUUUUCUUGGUGUUUUCAGCCAUUUUAGUACAGGCCAUGAAAUAGAAGGCUCAGAAAUUCCAGAUUUUCCUAGGUGUGGUCCACACCUCAGUCCCAUCCUACUCUGGCCUCGUGUGAACAGAGGUCCUGCCCGUGGCCUUGUUGUCCCCUGGCAGCCGCCCUCCACCCACCCCCUGACUUGCUGUCACAGCUGCCCUGGCAUCCAUCCUGGCCUUCAGCCCCACCUCCCUGGCUCCAGAGUCAUCCCUGGCCACAGGACGGUCUCUGCUCUCCAGCCCAACCCGCCUCCUGCUGGGAUUACCUGGAGGAGCUCACCCCGUGCAGAACUGUUUCUCCCUGGCAAAUUAAUUUGUCAGCACCACAGGUACUAAAACAGAUUAGCUAAUAGGCAAAACCUGCAUAGAUUUCACUAAACUGGGUCUUGAUGCACCCAUGACGAGCGUGAAAUGGGAUUAUCCCUUUAAAGUGCUUCAUCUUUGUAUUCUUGUCAAAAGAGGAGGAAAAAGACAUUUUCUUACACCCUGAGGAAACAGACUGGGCAUUGAUGUGUCUGUAUGUCCAUUAGAUAAAUUUUCAAUUUGUUCUUUAAUUAUAAUCUGUUAUUGCUUUUGGGGGGAUAUAGGGGCUAAAAAUGUCAAAACGUACCUUUAAUAAUUUCACAAAGUAAGUUUGUAAUGGUUUCUAAACCAACAACUUACGAAACUCAUUUUAGAACAUUCAAAAGCAUGGUAAGUGGUUAACAAAGAUGUGUUAACAUCAUUUGACAUGUUUUUCCUCCUUCAAAAAUAUAGUUUAUUUCCAAAUUUGUUUUUAAAACAAAAAGUAUACUUGAAAUCCAUACUUAUUAAAGAAAAAAAUUUUUAAUUAUAAAUUUUAGAUAAACAUGAAACUAAGUCGUCCAUAAUCCCAUUACUCAAAAGUAACUCAUGUUCACAUUUUGAUGUGCGUCCUUUCAAAAUUUUUUCUAUGUGAAUAUAUGCUCCCAAGCAUGUACUUUUAAAAUUUAUAGUUUAUUUUAUUUUGAGACAAGGUCCCACUCCUGUUACCCAGGCUGGAGUGCAGUGGUGCAAGCACGGCUCACUGCAGCCUUGACUUCCUCGGGCCCAGAUGAGUACCUCCUCAGCAUCCUGAGCAGCUGGGACCACAGGCAUGUGUCACCACGCCUGGCUAAUUUUUGUAUUUUUUGUAGAGGUGGGGCUUCACCAUGUUGCCUAGGCUGGUCUUGAACUUCUGGGCUCAAGCCAUCUGCUCACCUUGGCCUCUCCUAGUGCUGGGAUUACAGGUGUGAG